rnacentral:rRNA from 1 species
UACGGGGGGGGCAAGCGUUGUUCGGAAUUACUGGGCGUAAAGGGCGCGUAGGCGGCCGAUCAAGUUAGAUGUGAAAGUCCUGGGCUUAACCUGGGGACUGCAUUUGAUACUGAUUGGCUUGAAUUCGGGAGAGGAUAGCGGAAUUCCCAGUGUAGAGGUGAAAUUCGUAGAUAUUGGGAAGAACACCGGUGGCGAAGGCGGCUAUCUGGACCGACAUUGACGCUGAGGCGCGAAAGCGUGGGGAGCAAACAGG